rnacentral:sRNA from 1 species
CACACUACGGAGUCGAUGGUUCAGUUUCAUGAACCCUUGGACCAAGGAAGUAGAAUAUAUUGUCUCAACUAACACUGUUGUUUUAGCCAACGUCCUGGAAGGCGGGGACCCAACCUUCCCACAGCUCACAGCAUCCCCCCACAGCAUGGACAGCAUGCUGCCCUCUGGAGAAGGUGGCCCAAAGAGGACCCAUCCCACUGUUCCAGGGAUUCCAGGGGGAACCCGGGCUGGGGCAGGAAAAAUAGGCCGAAUGAUUGCUGAGGAAAUCAUGGAAAUCCACAGGCAAGUAACACCUUCUAGUUCCUCUGUUAAACCAGUGGUUCUCAACCCAGGGAAAUUUUUUCCCCCAGGCAAUAUUUUGCAAUGUCAGGAGACAUUUUUGGUCUUCACAACUGGGUGGGAGGUUGCUACUUAAACAUCCUGUGGAUAGAGACCAGGGAUGCUGCUUGUUAAACAUCCUACAGUAAACAGGACAGUUCCCCCCUCCCCACCCAACAAAGAAUUAUCCAAUCCAAAAUGUCAGUAGUGCCUAGAUUAAGAAAUCCUGCCUUAAAUAAAGAAGCUAAACCAAAAUAGCCCAGAGCUAAAGAGAAUUCUUGAGAAGACUUAACUUUCUUAUGGCUCAAGGAGCUUCUCAGUGCGGAUAGAUGUACCUUUACUUUACAGGAAUGCAGGAGUAGAGCUGUGAACUAUCAGAGUGAUCUGGACCUUAACAAAACAUUCACUUUUUUUCAAUCAAAGAGCUGCCCAGGAUUAGUACUAGAAACCAGGUAGAUCAGCUAGUUAUUACUAGCUGUCUUGGGAGAGACUUCCUUUCCAUAUGAAAGAGGAGCUUAGAAGCAGUCCACCUGGGUCUGAGUCCUGGGCCUCUCUACCUGGCUAUGCUGAGACUUACUUAACCUCUUGCUCUCUGUUGAUUUAAACCAUAAAAAGAAAGCACUAUUUCCCAAGAAUUGUGUUACGAUUGUGAGGGCACUCAGGAAAGUUCCAGGAACACAGCCUGACAUAUAGUGAGUGCUUAAAAAUUAAUUAAAUCUGUCUUUAAGAGCAGUCGAGAGGGAAGCAGUUAUCAUAAGUCUGUCCAAAUUUGGGGAAUAGAGAAGGUGGUAACCAGAUUCUUCAGAACGAAACUUAAUGUAACAUAAGAAAAGGAAGAAAACACUGCUGCCACUGGAUUCUCUCAGGAGAAUUAGAGGCUGGCCUGUUUUCCAAUUGGCCAUAAAGGGGCUAUUAUCCCCCUAUAGGUAACACAGCUCUUUUCCAACCCCACAGGAUUAGUGGGUGUGACUUCUGCAUCAGGAAGGAGACAUGAGGGUAGUGUGCAGUGUAAUCAGGUUCAAACCCUAUACUUUGCAUUUGCAUACCCUGUAUUUUGCUUGAGACCAUCCAAGAACAGUAUCAAACAGUCCUUGACCUCAAGAAUUUUAAAAUCUUUUAUAAGUCUAUUUUCUUUAUGAUAACAGGAAAAAGGGAGGGUGCAUGGGCCAAAGCAAGCAAAGGAGGAAAGAUUUGAACUUGGCCUUAGCCAGGGUUUGCAAUGAGAGUGGAUGUUCCCUCUAGAAAAGCCAGGGCUAUUCUUGAGUGGGCAUGUGAGUGGCAAAUUCAGGGUCAAGAAACAAGCUACCUAACUGGGCAGGCUUUGUGUAGGAAGGAGACACAGAGCUAUGAUAGGCGAGUAGGAAACACAAGAAAUGAUAUUGUGCAGUUUGGAAGAAACCUGUAAGACCCCAUUUGUUGUAGGAUGCUGAACAAGCAUCCAAAGUCUUGUGUUACGCUUUGUGGAAGUUGCAUUGGAAUAGGGAGAGAUGAAGGUGGGCAUGUUUGACAGCUCAGGAAUGAGGCCUUAACCUACAGAGAUGACACUGCCAAAAGAGAAAUCAAUCAUCUAAGGUCUAGCGUUUGAAGAUGAAAUCAGGAAUGAUGAAACAUCAAUUCCAAGAUGAGAAACCUGGGAAAAUAGUGGUUUCAUAGACAUAAGUAGAGAAAGGUGGGGGACACUCAGCAAUUUUUCCGUAAGCAAUUAGCAGCCGUUUGUGCAUGCUGAGAAUACAUGAUAUGUAGUUGUAAACUGCCGUUAAGAAGCUUAUAAUCCAGAAAGAAAACUUGUUCACUCACAAAUCUAGAGAACUAGGCAGUACAAGAACCAAAAGACUUCUGGGUGGUGGAGGAGUGGUCUCUGGGUCACCCAAAAGCUACAUUCAUCCAUGUAGGAGCUGAGAGUCCUGUGGUUACACAACUGCCAUCACACUCUCCCUAAACUGUAGCUGCAAUGCCAAGUGAUGGAUUCUUUCCUGAGGUCCUUCAGCCUGACAAGUAUUUAGGUGGAUUUACAGUUCUAAGUCUUCCCUUCUAUAAAUCUUCUGAGAGAGAUGCUAGAUAAGAAAGGCCUGGACCCAUUUUUCAUCAACCACUGCCUUCGAAGGCUGCUUUUACUGUCACUACUACUAGGCUACCUUUUAGACCCUGGUGCCCUCCAUGUCCUAAGAGUAUUCACUAGCUAAACAGUGUUUGUGGAGAAGGGGACAAAUUGUUUUCUGUGGAUCAAAGAUGGAGGUUGAUCUUAGAAGUUCUCCUCCAAUUCACCUGGAUUCUGUGAGGAAAUAAAACUGGCCACUUACUUGAAAUUCACCAACUGAAUGCAAACUCCAAUCCAAGGGCGUUGUCAGUGAGAUGCUUGACUCUAGGGACUGCAUUCUAGAUCAGGUGCCUGUAGAACAAAUCCAGCUUGUCAUCUGUUUUUGUAAAUAAAGUUUUAUUGGAACACAGCCACACCGAUUCGUAUCUGUGGCUGCUUUCAAGCUGCAGAGGCAGAGUUGAGCAUUUGUGACAGACACCAUAUGGCCUAGAGAGCCUACUAUCUGGCCCUUACAGAAAAAGCUUGCCAAACCCUAAUCUAGAUCUUCAUCCCCUUUCUCACCUUUACCCCUUAACAAAGCACAUACACUCCACUGAAAAAAGAAAAGGCAGUGUAAUUCUCUUUUCUGACAGGAUAAGAGGGUCAUCGCCUUCUAGCUGUGGCUCCAGCCCAUUGAACAUCACGAGUACGCCUCCCCCUGAUGCCUCUUCUCCAGGAGGCAAGAAGAUUUUAAAUGGAGGGACUCCAGACAUUCCUUCCAGUGGCCUACUAUCAGGCCAGGCUCAGGAGAACCCAGGUUAUCCAUAUUCUGAUAGUUCUUCUAUUCUUGGUGAGAACCCCCACAUAGGUAUAGACAUGAUUGACAACGACCAAGGAUCAAGUAGUCCCAGUAAUGAUGAGGCAGCAAUGGCUGUCAUCAUGAGCCUCUUGGAAGCAGAUGCUGGACUGGGUGGCCCUGUUGACUUUAGUGACUUGCCAUGGCCGCUGUAAACACUACAUGUUGCUUUGGCAACAGCUAUAGUAUCAAAGUGCAUUACUGGUGGAGUUUUACAGUCUGUGAAGCUUACUGGAUAAGGAGAGAAUAGCUUUUAUGUACUGACUUCAUAAAAGCCAUCUCAGAGCCAUUGAUACAAGUCAAUCUUACUAUAUGUAACUUCAGACAAAGUGGAACUAAGCCUGCUCCAGUGUUUCCUCAUCAUUGAUUAUUGGGCUAGCUGUGGAUAGCUUGCAUUAAUUGUAUAUUUUGGAUUCUGUUUGUGUUGAAUUUUUUAAUCAUUGUGCACAGAAGCAUCAUUGGUAGCUUUUAUAUGCAAAUGGUCAUUUCAGAUGUAUGGUGUUUUUACACUACAAAGAAGUCCCCCAUGUGGAUAUUUCUUAUACUAAUUGUAUCAUAAAGCCGUUUAUUCUUCCUUGUAAGAAUCCUUUACUAUAAAUAUGGGUUAAAGUAUAAUGUACUAGACAGUUAAAUAUUUUUAAUAAAUGUUUCCCUUGUUCUAU